rnacentral:lncRNA from 1 species
AUUUUUACUUCUUUUUGCAGCAGCAAGAUUAAGAAAAUUGUGCAUUCAAUUAUAUCAUCCUUUGCAUUUGGACUAUUUGGAGUUUUCCUGGUCUUACUGGAUGUCACUCUCGUCCUUGCCGACCUAAUUUUCACUGACAGCAAACUUUAUAUUCCUUCGGAGUAUCGUUCUAUUUCUCUAGCUAUUGCCUUAUUUUUUCUCAUGGAUGUUCUUCUUCGAGUAUUUGUAGAAGGGUAAGUUUGAUUAUUUUUAUAAUGCAUUAAGCUAUUUUGUACUUUUAUAAGAAGCACUUUGGGAGGCUGAGGUGGGAGGAUCCCAAGGUCAGGAGUUCGAGACAAUCCUGGCCAACAUGGUGAAACCCCGUCUCUACUAAAAAUACAAAAAUUAGCUGGGUGUGGUGGUGGUUGCCUAUAAUCCCAGCUGCUUGGGAUGCUGAGGCAGGAGAAUCUUUUGAACCUGGGAGGCAGAAGUUG